UACAUGUUUCACACCGCUUCCAAAUCGAAACUGUCUAACUAAUUGCGAAGCAAUCCUUGUCGCGAGGACAUUUGUCAAAUCAGUCUAUCGCGUUCUUUCUAUAGAACAUCAGGUGUUUCGUUCGAUUAGCAGGUGUGAAUUAAUUGAAGUUUGUUAUGGAAUCAAAGUGAACAGUGUCACAAAAAGUGAUGAAUUCUUUGUGUAUUUUUGUGUACUUGAAGUGAGAUUGGUGCUUGUUAUUACAGAAAUUACGAAGAUGGAUGAUCCACUUUCGAUAGCAAUGGGCAAACAUAUGCUGUUCAACAAGGAACGGGCACAUCUGGGUAUACAAGUACGGAUCCGUCGACCCCUGUUCAGUUGUUCAUCAAACCGUGCGCGAGAAACACGUUCGAAAUGUUCGCUGAAACACUGUUUCGUUUGUGUGCAGCAGUACACGUUUAUGCAACGUAACAGCAGCAGGGAUGAAGGCUAGCAUCGUUACUUCCGGCGUUUUACUACGGACACGACUUGCAGGGAUGGAUUUUUCUGUUUAACGAGAAAUUGCAAAACUACAAGGACCAGGAACGUACAACUGCACAGCCAUUUGGCACACUCCGCACACAAGCUCGACGUCCGCUUCACCGGCUCGUCCUAACGAGCCGAGAAUCGCUCGAUAAACAGGCGGGGAUUAAUCAACCAGAACCCGUCUCUUAUCGUCUCCGGCGAGGAACUGUAUCGUCACGUUCGUCUGCUGGACGGCGAAGCCCACGACGACGCGUUAAAUCGUGCAGAAAUCCAGGUUGAACGUGCACCGACCUGAAGCCACAGAACCUGCGUCCCUGACCCGCUCAACCUGUGGCCUCGAUGAAUCACGCGACCAGCACCAGCAGCACCAGCAACAGAUCUUCUCCGAGACAAUCGACGAAAGUUCUCAGACCGAUGGACAGGCACACGGUGCACCUCCAACGACCUGGAACCCCUUUGUUUAAUCCUUUGAUUUCCACGAUUUUAAUACCAAACAGUUAUCUAUACUUUUGAUCAAUUUCAUUUAUUUUGCUGAUAUUUUUUAUUUUAUGGGUACUUUCAGAAUUGUUUAGAAGUUAUGGCAGAGAUUAUUUAUAACUAAGGAAGAGUAUUUCUUGUAAGGGGUAGUAUCACUGUAGAUAAGCACAAGUUUAAUUUAUUAUUUUCAUCAAAUUUCACUUCUUUGUUAUAAAUAUUAUUUUAAUUUUUUAGAAAUUGUGAUAGGACUUGUUUAUAAUUAGAAAAGAUUACUCCUUGAACAGGGGGCAAGGGGUCCUCCUCUAAAUAACCACAGAUUUAAUCUCUUCUUUUGAUGAUAUACCACUUCUUCCACUUCUUACAAAUUUUAUUGCAAUUAUUUAUAAUCAGAAAAGUAAGAUUGUUCCUUAUUAAAAGGGUGAUAUAAAUCCCUACAGACAAGUCUUAUCACUUUAUAGUAAAAUAAUAAAAUAUCCUUAUUUUAUUAUUUCAAUUUAAUUAUUGAUAAAUUAUUAAUAAUCAAAGAUUUAAUAACUGAUUUAUAGAAAGAUAUAAUUAUUUUUUCCACCACAUUUAGAAUUUUAUGCUAAAUGGUAAAAUCCAUAUCACAUUUUUUGCAUUUUACUUGUUUAACCUGCUACAAUGUUUUUUAUUCAACACUUCUUCACUGUGAAAUCAGCAAUUUCUUUUUCUGCGUUACAAAAUUUCCAAUGGUUCUUCAACGACGCACCUCACCAAGGAAAUACACACCAAGUGUUUCCUAACGAGCAAUCCUCUCGAUUAACCGAUCAAAAGGAGAAACUCUCGCACUCGAGACGAUAGGAUCCUCGAUCAAAGAUCGAACUUCAAGUUCCCGGACGUCUGUCUGCCGACGAGAUAAGAGACCUCGAAGAGCACUAGGAAUACUCGGCAACCUGUUGAUUCUUCGACGACUCUCGACCAAGCUGAGAAUUCAUCCAUCAAUGAUUCUCAUCAGAAUUCAGCUAAUUUCUUCGCGAACGAAUUCACUAUCGAACGUUGUUACGUGUCCCUUUGAUACUAUCGGCGAUUUAUUCGCGGUCGGAGAACCAGAUUCGCGGUGAGAGUGUUACCGCGAAACGGGAUUAGUCAAUAGCCGUUCAAAUUACACUUUCGAAGCGGAUUUGUCGCGGUCGCCAAACUUGGCCAUCCAACCUCUCGAUGUCCAAGUUGGAUUCUGUUGCAGAGAUCUUCCUGGAAUGUUGCUCGGAAAGAUCAAAUCUAUUUCUGCUUUGAAACUACGUCGAUGUUGAAUUCUUCAGCAUUAAUUAAUCAAACUCUUCAUUAAUUUAUAUAGAAAAAUUCAGAUACGCAGAAUCUAAUUUUCAGAAAUUUUCAAAGUUCAAAGCAGGAAAUCUAAAAAUUCCUCAACAAAUAAUCUCAGAAGCCUCCAAAAAUAUUCUUCAGGGCCUGCAAUAGUCCACAGGGUUAAUUCUUCGAUUGUCACUUUUCGAACUUCUUCAAACAACACUCAAACCUUGAAAAAUUCAAAUAUUUCUGAAAAAUUUUAAUGGAUUAUUUUUGUUAACACUGCUUUAACAUCCAGCAUCCCCGAAUUGAAAGAUUCUUCAGGAAUUAGAUCACUAGUUUGCGAAGACGACUGAUUACUCGCGAGCGCGCUCGCCGCGCGUAUUCGAACAUGCUUCCGACAGUUUGAUCGAUCCGGGCCCGCGAAAUCUGACUCGACCGGUGAAGACGCCCGCGGGCGGGGCACGCGAGUGACCGGAUCCGGCCGCUACCAAAAUGGCGGCAAGAUUUCGUUGAACGGAGGACCGAGAGGCCGAAAACGUCCGAAUGUAAAAUGCGUGUCGAAGGAUGGAAACGAGCGCACAGCGCAGGUAAGAGAGGUUUUCGAGCAACUACGAGCCGGUCAGAAGGCGGCGUGUCUUUCUCCCCUGCAUCGUGCAUCAGCCUCGCGGAGAGAGGGAAAUGGCGAAACGAUGGUAGGAGGUAUAGUGCAAAAACCGGCGAGAGGGGAGCAGGUGAACGCUGAUAGAUUCGCGAUCCUUGGGAAUCGAGAUCGGGGAUCCUUGCAUUCGGAACUUGAUACCAGCUUGCCAGAUUAAGAGUCGAGUCUUUAGCGGUGUUGCGGAUGGUCAAGGUGCAGGAGGAGCCUUAUCGAACCCUUGGUACUAGAGGGGGAAGAAACGUGUUGCAAAGAAAGACAGGUUUCAAAGCCAUUGCAUACGAGUCACAAUUUUACGCACAGCUGACUUCGUUAACCCCUUACUGUCAGUUGGUUCCUGCCUAAAGCAACAGGUGGUCGUCGAUGUUGCGUGUCGAUUAUGAAAAUGGUGAAUAAGGUUGCAUUUUGCGACUGCAUUUCACAAACAGCCGCACAUUUCGUAGAAUUUACGACUUCUGUAAUUUUAUAUUCUUUUUUCAAUGUAAAAUUAGCUUACAAAUAUGUUAAUAUUCGACAGCUUCUGUUGAAUCAUCAUUUUUUAAAAUAUGAUUUAUGUAUGAUAUAGUGUGUAUAAAUAAAGUAAAGAAUAAUAAUGCAAAA